AAUAAUAGGAACCCAGGCCGUAGCAUCGUUUCACAAUGUUUCCAUCACCAUCAUCAGUGGAUGCCUUUGCUGUCCGUAGCCUGAGAUUUCAGAUUUGCAGCAAAAAAAAAAUUAUUUUCUCAUUUAUUGGAAUGCUGUGCAGGUAUUUGUACCUUGCAGCCAUCCAUUACAAUGUCACCAAGCCGUAACAAAAGCAGGAGAGGGAAAGUACAAGGCUAUGUUCCCAAAACACACAAGUGACAUACCUUAUGUGGAGGAUGUGAUCAGGCUUGUGUUUGAUGAGGUAUUUGAAGAUAAGCUGAAGGAAGCCCUGAUUCCAAUGGACCUGGCAUCACAGUUUGAGAGACCUUCAAAGGAGGACGUGAUUGCAUGCCAUCUUCAGUGCAG